AAUUAUGGUGAGCUGACAAGGCAGCGUAUGCUGGCCGUACUUCGAGGCGGUUGUUCCAACCUUGUUCAGCUCACCACCUAA
rnacentral:antisense_RNA from 1 species